rnacentral:rRNA from 1 species
AACGAACGCUGGCGGCAGGCUUAACACAUGCAAGUCGAGCGCCCCGCAAGGGGAGCGGCAGACGGGUGAGUAACACGUGGGAACGUACCUUUUGCUACGGAAUAGCUCCGGGAAACUGGAAUUAAUACCGUAUGUGCCCUUCGGGGGAAAGAUUUAUCGGCAAAAGAUCGGCCCGCGUCUGAUUAGCGAGUUGGUGGGGUAAUGGGCUACCAAGGAGACGAUCAGUAGCUGGUCUGAGAGGAUGAUCAGCCACACUGGGACUGAGACACGGCCCAGACUCCUACGGGAGGCAGCAGUGGGGAAUAUUGGACAAUGGGCGCAAGCCUGAUCCAGCCAUGCCGCGUGAGUGAUGAAGGCCUUAGGGUUGUAAAGCUCUUUCGCUAGGGAAGAUAAUGACGGUACCUAGAGAAGAAGCCCCGGCUAACUUCGUGCCAGCAGCAGCCGCAGUAA